rnacentral:snoRNA from 1 species
CUUUUAAAAAAACAGGCACACAGACUGCAAACAGCAGCUUCCUUGGUAGUGUAUGCAGCCUGUUUGUUGUAUGGGUUGCUCUAAGGGACCUUGGAGACAGGC